GAUGAACGCUGGCGGCGUGCCUAAUACAUGCAAGUCGAGCGAACAGACGAUGAGCUUGCUCCUCUGACGUUAGCGGCGGACGUGUGAGUAACACGUGUAUAACCUACUUAUAAUACUGGUAUAACUUCGGGAAACCGGAGCUAAUACCGUAGAAUAUAUUGAACCGCAUUGGUCGAUGGUGAAAGUCGGUUUUUCUGUCACGUAUAGAUGGAUCCGCGCCGCAUUAGCUAGUUGGUAAGGUAACGGCUUACCAAGGCAACGAUGCGUAGACGACCUGAGAGACUGAUAGGCCACCUGAGAACUGAACCAGGGUCAAGGCGACUAAGGGAGGCAGCAGUAGGGUAUGGUACGCAGUGGGCGAAAGUAUGACGGAGCAACCGCGAGUGAGUGAUGACGGUGUUGGGAGCGUAAAAAUGUCUUAUUAGGGAUGAACAAAUGUGGAAGUAAAUAUGCACGUCUUGACGGUAACUAAUAAGAAAGCAACGGCUAACUACGUG
rnacentral:rRNA from 1 species